GGCCCUAUAGCUCAAUGGAUAGAGCCCUGGCCUUCUAAGCCAGCCAUGAAGGUUCGAUUCCUUCUGGGGUCA
rnacentral:tRNA from 1 species